CAACUACUCCCUCCGUCCGAAAAUACUUGUCUGAGGAAUGGAUGUAUCUAGAUGUAUUUUAGUUUUAGAUACAUCCAUUUGUAUCUAUUUCUACGACAAGUAUUUCCGUACGGAGGGAGUACAUU
rnacentral:pre_miRNA from 1 species